CCUACGGGUGGCAGCAGUGGGGGAUAUUGCACAAUGGGGGGAACCCUGAUGCAGUGACGCCGCGUGGGUGAAGAAGCGCCUAGGCGCGUAAAGCCCUGUCAGCAGGGAAGAAAAUGACGGUAUCUGAAGAAGAAGCACCGGCUAACUACGUGCCAGCAGCCGCGGUAAUACGUAGGGGGCAAGCGUUAUCCGGAUUUACUGGGUGUAAAGGGGGCGUAGACGGCGAUGCAAGUCUGAAGUGAAAGGCGGGGGCCCAACCCCCGGACUGCAUUGGAAACUGUAUGGCUGGAGUGCAGGAGAGGUAAGUGGAAUUCCUGGUGUAGCGGUGAAAUGCGUAGAUAUUAGGAGGAACACCAGUGGCGAAGGCGGCUUACUGGACUGUAACUGACGUUGAGGCACGAAAGCGUGGGGAGCAAACAGGAUUAGAUACCCUAGUAGUC
rnacentral:rRNA from 1 species